CUGACAGCAGCACGGGGGAGCAGCUCAGCAGAGAGAGGAGCCACGGGACAGUUGUAUUUCCAGUGGGAUUUGGGGCUCUGGAGGGAGCAGUGCUGGUGUACAGCGAGCAGAGACCUUGCCAAGGGAAAACAUUUAAACUUCUCCAGACUGUUUCAUUCUUAUGAAAAUCUUUUAGCUCAAAUCUGAAGGCAGGGCUCCAGAUGGCAGGAAAAACCCCUGGAAAGGAAGGCAGAGGAGACAACUUGCUCCAGAAGUGCUGUGUGAAUCUGGAAUGUCAGUCCAGGCUCGCCUCCUCUGCUGCAGGUUUGGGCACAGUGCUCCAGAGAGAACCCCACAGAACAGCCCCACCUCACUCAGGGCUCCUACACACUUUACUUCACUCAGGCAAGAUAUUCUACUCCUUGAAUGCCACCCGACAGUUCAUUUCUCAAAAGAUGCUAAUUGCUGCUGAUUGGUUUAUUAGCUUGCUGCCAAGAAUCCAUAAUUUUCCUAGGAAAGGCAAUACCAGGCAGAUGCUGCUUGAUGUGAGACCUGCAGGGCUUAACCCUUCAUGCUGUGCAGUGUGAACACUCUGAGAGCUAGGGCUGGCUCUGUGGCACUGCUGACCACUCAUUAUACCCACAAAUCAUCAGCACCCGAGCUCAGGGUGUCAGAGACAGCUCUGCUGGCUUCCCUGAAGAGCAACAGAAAUGUUCAGCUCAGAUUUGGGUUUUCCAUUUCCCUUCAAGCCUGUGCAAAUCCCAAGCUGAGUGCUCUGCAAAUACUCACUUUAUAAAGACCUGUGAGUACCCACAUUCUACAUUUCCAGUAAAAUCCUUGUCCCUGUGUUCUGCUUUCCCAGAUGGGCUGCAGCUCCAGAGAGGGACCCUGGGAGCACUGGCUGGUGUCUGGUGACUGAUUGUCCCCAGCCAUUUUCUCUCCAGACCUUUUCCUUUGCUCCUUUUCCUGGUCCAAAGGAAACUCUGGAUGCACUGGGCCAUGAAUGGAUCUGCCAGGAGCCCUGUCCUGCCCAUUCCCAACUUUUCAACAACUGUGGUCCUGCCCACCGUGCCUUCCUGGCCUGCUUCCCUCUAUCCUUCUCAAAGAGAGUGAUUCUCUUCCUUUCCUUUCCCUUUCCAUCCCAGCUUUCCUCCCUGGCCUCAUCAGC